rnacentral:rRNA from 1 species
UUAAUUGAAGAGUUUGAUCAUGGCUCAGAUUGAACGCUGGCGGCAGGCCUAACACAUGCAAGUCGAGCGGUAGCACAGAGGAGCUUGCUCCUUGGGUGACGAGCGGCGGACGGGUGAGUAAUGUCUGGGAAACUGCCCGAUGGAGGGGGAUAACUACUGGAAACGGUAGCUAAUACCGCAUAACGUCUUCGGACCAAAGUGGGGGACCUUCGGGCCUCACACCAUCGGAUGUGCCCAGAUGGGAUUAGCUAGUAGGUG